UUCACUGAGGAAGGAACGUUGCGAAACUUUCUCUCUCUGGUGUUUUUUCCACAUUUCGUGUCAUGACUCGUGUGAUUUUUUUAUUUUUUUGCAUGUGGAGGCUGGACUGCUGAUGACUCAAUGUGCUGUUGAAUAAAAUGACCAUGAUGAAAUAAAACACACCGUAAAGACCCGGUGCAUGGCCUCGGGCUGCGUGCGCGAGUGUGGAAACAUGUCCUACAACUUCCUACUUCUCUCCACCUGACUUCCCUCACCUUGCCGUGUAGCGCCUGACCCUGACGAGACGGCGUGUCUGUGACGCAAAUGCCUGUGAACUUUUGCACAAAAGCCAGUGCUGAUGACAAGCAGAUAUACUGCAAGAAAAAAGAUGAAUUGGUAACUUAUCUACCCGCAGCUCUCAUUUUUUCUGUUCCUUUCUUCUACAUUCCAUCUCCAAAUCUGCCUACAUUGCUGCAGGCUUUUGUUCCACUUUUGCUCCAAUUUAAAAUGUUCGCGAACUAGAUGGGAGGGAGCUGAAGAAGAAGAAAGAAAAAAGUUCGCUGGAAGGAAAAUCAGUUAAGCCAUGAUAGUAAAUGAUCUUUGUGAAAUAUCUAAUGAUUUAGUUGUAAUGCAUUUUUACUUUGUUCUGUUUACAUACGCGACUGUU